UGCUGCUACCUCUGGGGUCUCUCUGAAUGACCUCAGCAUAAAGGGAUCUGGACUUGACUGACAUCAGCCAAAGGUUUUAGUCAAUGAGAAUCAAGUGGUCAUUGCUUCUUCUCCUGUAACAGAAAAGGGGAUGAAGGAUGUGACCAGCUACCAUGUGCCCAGUGUGACCAGCUACCAUGUGCUUCGUGCCCAGUGUGACCAGCUACUGUGUGCUCCAUGCCCAGUGUGACCAGCUACCGUGUGCUCCAUGCCCAGUGUGACCAGCUACCGUGUGCUCCGUGCCCAGUGUGACCAGCUACCAUGUGCUCCGUGCCCAGUGUGACCAGCUUUGCUUGCUCAGACCCUGAGCUGCCAUAAGUCCUUCAUCCCUUAAGCUGUUUAUCAUCAGUUUAACGCUCUGAGAGGAUGAAAUGCAAUUUUGAGAAUG
rnacentral:lncRNA from 1 species